CUACGGGGUGCACCAGUGGGGAAUAUUGGGCAAUGGGCGAAAGCCUGACCCAGCAACGCCGCGUGAAGGAAGAAGGUUUUCGGAUCGUAAACUUCUAUCCCAGGUGAAGAUAAUGACGGUAGCCUGGAAGGAAGCCCCGGCUAACUACGUGCCAGCAGCCGCGGUAAUACGUAGGGGGCAAGCGUUGUCCGGAAUGAUUGGGCGUAAAGGGCGCGUAGGUGGCCUUCUAAGUCCGAUGUGAAAGUCCUGCUUUUAAGGUGGGAAUUGCAUUGGAAACUGGAGGGCUUGAGUGCAGGAGAGGUAAGUGGAAUUCCCGGUGUAGCGGUGAAAUGCGUAGAGAUCGGGAGGAACACCAGUGGCGAAGGCGACUUACUGGACUGUAACUGACGCUGAGGCGCGAAAGUGUGGGGAGCAAACAGGAUUAGAUACCCGUGUAGUC
rnacentral:rRNA from 1 species